AACGAACGCUGGCGGCAUGCCUAACACAUGCAAGUCGAACGAGACCUUCGGGUCUAGUGGCGCACGGGUGCGUAACGCGUGGGAACCUGCCCUUAGGUUCGGAAUAACUCCCCGAAAGGGGUGCUAAUACCGGAUAAUGUCUUCGGACCAAAGAUUUCUCGCCUUUGGAUGGGCCCGCGUUGGAUUAGCUAGUUGGUAGGGUAAAAGCCUACCAAGGCGACGAUCCAUAGCUGGUCUGAGAGGAUGACCAGCCACACUGGGACUGAGACACGGCCCAGACUCCUACGGGAGGGAGCAGUGGGGAAUAUUGGACAAGGGGCGAAAGCCUGAUCCAGCAAUGCCGCGUGAGUGAUGAAGGCCUUAGGGUUGUAAAGCUCUUUUACCCGGGAUGAUAAUGACAGUACCGGGAGAAUAAGCACCGGCUAACUCCGUG
rnacentral:rRNA from 1 species